rnacentral:rRNA from 1 species
AGCGACCUCGCGAGAGCAAGCGGACCUCAUAAAGUGCGUCGUAGUCCGGAUUGGAGUCUGCAACUCGACUCCAUGAAGUCGGAAUCGCUAGUAAUCGUGGAUCAGAAUGCCACGGUGAAUACGUUCCCGGGCCUUGUACACACCGCCCGUCACACCAUGGGAGUGGGUUGCAAAAGAAGUAGGUAGCUUAACCUUCGGGAGGGCGCUUACCACUUUGUGAUUCAUGACUGGGGUGAAGUCGUAACAAGGUAACCGUAGGGGAACCUGCGGUUGGAUCACCUCCUUACCUUAAAGAA